ACGCUCGACACCUACGGGAGGCAGCAGUGGGGAAUAUUGCACAAUGGGGGAAACCCUGAUGCAGCGACGCCGCGUGGAGGAAGAAGGUCUUCGGAUUGUAAACUCCUGUUGUUGGGGAAAAAAGAGGAUGGUACCCAACAAGGAAGUGACGGCUAACUACGUGCAGCAGCCGCGGUAAUCUGAGCGGGCUGGCAAGGC
rnacentral:rRNA from 1 species